NNNNNNNNNNNNNNNNNNNNNNNNNNNAACUCUCAACAGACUUACACAUGCAAGCAUCCACGCCCCGGUGAGUAACGCCCUCCAAAUCAAUAAGACUAAGAGGAGCAGGUAUCAAGCACACAUCUUGUAGCUUACAACGCCUCGCUUAACCACACCCCUACGGGAGACAGCAGUGACAAAAAUUAAGCCAUAAACGAAAGUUUGACUAAGCCAUGUUGACCAGGGUUGGUAAAUCUCGUGCCAGCCACCGCGGUCAUACGAUUAACCCAAGCUAACAGGAAUACGGCGUAAAACGUGUUAAAGCACUACAUCAAAUAGAGUUAAAUUCUAAUUAAACUGUAAAAAGCCAUAAUUACAACAAAAAUAGAUGACGAAAGUAACCCUACUGCAGCUGAUACACUAUAGCUAAGACCCAAACUGGGAUUAGAUACCCCACUAUGCUUAGCCCUAAACACAAAUAAUUACAGAAACAAAAUUAUUCGCCAGAGUACUACCGGCAACAGCCCGAAACUCAAAGGACUUGGCGGUGCUUUAUACCCUUCUAGAGGAGCCUGUUCUAUAAUCGAUAA
rnacentral:rRNA from 1 species